rnacentral:lncRNA from 1 species
GAGUCGCCACCAUAGUUUAUUCUGGAAAACUAUGGAAAAAACCAUGAAAUGAUAAGGCAAGGUCUGCGAAAACUGAAUUUCGGGUUCGGGAGUCGGUUACGUGUAGGGAAGGUGUUAGCACCCUACAACGCCUGCCCGAAGGCAGUACCUUUAAUUAAAUGCGCGAAUAAAGAUAUGGUUUGCAAAAUGUUUAACUAUCCCAAGAACAACAAAAUAAAGAAACAAAAUAUUUUUUAGGUUUUUUGGGCCCGAC